rnacentral:rRNA from 1 species
UACGUAGGGGGCAAGCGUUGUCCGGAUUUAUUGGGCGUAAAGAGCGUGUAGGCGGCUAGGUAGGUCCGUUGUGAAAACUCGAGGCUCAACCUCGAGACGUCGAUGGAAACCAUCUAGCUAGAGUCCGGAAGAGGAGAGUGGAAUUCCUGGUGUAGCGGUGAAAUGCGCAGAUAUCAGGAAGAACACCCGUGGCGAAGGCGGCUCUCUGGUACGUGACUGACGCUGAGACG